rnacentral:rRNA from 1 species
GACGAACGCUGGCGGCGUGCUUAACACAUGCAAGUCGAACGGAAAGGCCCUGCUUUUGUGGGGUGCUCGAGUGGCGAACGGGUGAGUAACACGUGAGUAACCUGCCCUUGACUUUGGGAUAACUUCAGGAAACUGGGGCUAAUACCGGAUAGGAGCUCCUGCUGCAUGGUGGGGGUUGGAAAGUUUCGGCGGUUGGGGAUGGACUCGCGGCUUAUCAGCUUGUUGGGGGGGUAGUGGCUUACCAAGGCUUUGACGGGUAGCCGGCCUGGGAGGGUAACCGGCCACAUUGGGACUGAGAUACGGCCCAGACUCCUACGGGAGGCAGGGGUGGAGAAUAUUACACAGUGGGAGGAAGCCUGAUGCGAUAACGCCGCGUGCGGGAAGACGGGCAUCGGGUUGUAAACCGCUGUCGCCUGUGACGAAGAGUGAGUGACGGUAAUGGAUAAAGAAGCACCGGCUAACUACGUG